CUGCACAGACAAAACUCCACCAGCUUCUCUGUCAAAACAGGGAACAUUGAGAUUACAUACAGAGUUCUCCUGGGGCUUAUCCUCUUUGCUCCCCAUCACCACGGCUCCGUUAGCGGCCUUGCUGAGCCCGUUGAGUGUACCAUUAGAGAGGGCCUUGCCUGCUUUGGAGGCGGAGGAGGUGUCGCGUCUAGGCUGCUGGCGGCGGUACUUUUGGAUCUUAG